rnacentral:rRNA from 1 species
UGAGGAAUAUUGGUCAAUGGGGGCAACCCUGAACCAGCCAAGUCGCGUGAAGGAUGAAGGUCUUAUGGAUUGUAAACUUCUUUUACACGGGAAUAAAGUGGGGGACGUGUCCCCCUUUGCAUGUACCGUGUGAAUGAGGAUCGGCUAACUCCGUGCCAGCAGCCGCGGUAAUACGGAGGAUCCGAGCGUUAUCCGGAUUUCUUGGGUUUAAAGGGUGCGCAGGCGGGAUGUUAAGUCGGCGGUGAAAUUUUGCAGCUCAACUGUAAAAGUGCCUUCGAUACUGGCCUCCUUGAGUGUGGAUGAAGUAGGCGGAAUUUGUGGUGUAGCGGUGAAAUGCUUAGAUAUUACGAGGAACUCCGAUUGCGCAGGCAGCUUACUAAGCCACAACUGACGCUCAUGCACGAAGGCGUGGGGAUCAAACA